rnacentral:rRNA from 1 species
UAACGGCGAGCGAACGGGGAAGAGCUCAUAGCCGAAUCCGGAGUCGCGAGGCUUCGGAAAUGUGGCGUAUGGGAGGCGGCAUUCCCCCGUCGAGGAGACCGGUGCAAGUCCCCAUGAGAGGGGCAUGCUUCCCGGAGAGGGUGCUAGGCCCUUACCGCCGGGAUCCUAGGCGGGAGUCGCCGUUCUCCCGGGAGUCGGGUUGCUUGGGAGUGCAGCCCAAAGCGGGUGGUAAACUCCACCUAAAGCUAAAUAAGACCGAGAGACCGAUAGCAAACAAGUACCGUGAGGGAAAGUUGAAAAGCACUUUGAAGAGAGAGUUCAAGAGUACGUGAAACCGUUUGGAGGUAAACGGGUGGGGCUUCGAAAGCCUAAGGCGGUUGCGGAUUCAGUCUUCGGGGGUUCUCCCCCUCCCGUGCCCUCGCAUCGAGAGGUGGGGGCGCGGGAGAUAGGGCGUUCUUCCGGGGGCGCACUUCCGCGUGCCGUCUAGCAGGACGCUGCGAGGGGUUGAACGGGCGUCGUGGGGACGCGCCGAAAGGUGGCCGUCUUUCCUUCGGGAUCGACGGUGUUAAAGGCGGUGCGAGGCCCGAGGGGCCGUUCGACCGAGGUUUUGGUUACCCUCCCGGCAGAGAGCCGCGGCCAGGGCGGGCCGUCCAACGUAUCGGGGUGACACCCAGAGGGGUGAACGCCGUUCGUCGAGGUGAUGCCCCGUCACGGGCCGUCCAUGGGACGGGUAGGUUUGGCAGCGAGUAGGUCGGUCUCCCACCCGACCCGUCUUGAAACACGGACCAAGGANUCCAAGGCGCGCGCGAGUCCCCGGGACUUGAUUAGGCCCGUGGGCGCAAUGAAAGUGAAGGUCGACGAGGGUCGGCCCAGUUGGGAUCCCGUCCUGGAGAUAGGGGGCGGGCGCACCAACGUCCCGUCCGGCAUCGGGUUCGGUGGGGCGGAGACAGAGCGCGCGCGUUGGGACCCGAAAGAUGGUGAACUAUGCCUGGGCAGGAUGAAGCCAGAGGAAACUCUGGUGGAGGUCCGUAGCGAUUCUGACGUGCAAAUCGAUCGUC